AUCUACCACCAUACCACCCUGAACACCCACUGUCAUCUCAUCUUGGAAGCUAAGCAAGGUCUGGCCUGGUUAGUGGGGGGUGGUAGGGA
rnacentral:rRNA from 1 species